rnacentral:sRNA from 1 species
CGCCGCUGCCCUCCUUGGGCGUUUCCUCCCUAGACUUGGCCGCUCGCUUUACUGCGGGCGGCCUUUUUUUUAGGUCAU